AUUUUCAAAUGAGCACUCGCUCUCCUCCUGGGAGCCAGCAGAGCCUUUCCCUUUUCCUUUUCCAUU